CGGGCAUGCACUACUCGGAGGAACCGCGCCCCUGGGAUCCACUGCCCGGGGAGAGGAGCCUGGUGCAGGCUCCGCGCGGGCCCUGCGGUGCACCACGAGGUCCCCCGGCACUGCUCCCGCUCUGACCCCGCCUGGCCCUCAGCCGCCGCCUGCGCCUUCCCCACCUCCUUUCCGACGGGGCGGCGCUGUGCCUCAGCAGUCGAGGCUCCCGCCUUUUCGGCCGCAGCUCUUGGCUGCGACCCGGAGUCGUCUAGGGCGGGGGAGUCCGCGUCGUUCCCGCUCGGCGCCGCCUCGCGGGUGCAGGGAACCGGGCUGGCGCUGCGCUCGGCGGCGCCCAGGCCCGGGCGCGAGCAUCGAUAAUGCAGGAGGUGGCGGGUCCUGACCCCCUUGGCCAACAAUGGAGCAAAGGCGACCUGGGAAAGAAGAGACGCUGCAGCUGCGGACAAAGGCCGUGGACAGGGCAACCGUGCUGGACCUGGUGCCAGGCUGAAGAACCUCACGGGGCCAAGCGGGCUACCACAGAGCCAUACCGCCAGCCCUACAGCUUGUUUUUGAACUGUAAUACAGUGAACACUCAACACCGG
rnacentral:lncRNA from 1 species